UACGUAGGGUGCGAGCGUUGUCCGGAAUUAUUGGGCGUAAAGAGCUCGUAGGCGGCUUGUCGCGUCGGAUGUGAAAGCCCGGGGCUUAACUCCGGGUCUGCAUUCGAUACGGGCAGGCUUGAGUUCGGUAGGGGAGAUCGGAAUUCCUGGUGUAGCGGUGAAAUGCGCAGAUAUCAGGAGGAACACCGGUGGCGAAGGCGGAUCUCUGGGCCGAUACUGACGCUGAGGAGCGAAAGCGUGGGGAGCGAACAGG
rnacentral:rRNA from 1 species